UACGGAGGGUGCAAGCGUUAUCCGGAAUCAUUGGGUUUAAAGGGUCCGCAGGCGGACUAAUAAGUCAGUGGUGAAAGCCCAUCGCUCAACGAUGGAACUGCCAUUGAAACUGUUAGUCUUGAAUUCGGUCGAAGUGGGCGGAAUGUGUCAUGUAGCGGUGAAAUGCAUAGAUAUGACACAGAACACCGAUAGCGAAGGCAGCUCACUAGGCCUGAAUUGACGCUCAGGGACGAAAGCGUGGGGAGCGAACAGG
rnacentral:rRNA from 1 species